CCACCUGGGUGGUGUAAAGGUAUGUCCUUGUAUUCACCUGACCACCUGGGUGGUGUAAAGGUAUGUCCUUGUAUUCACCUGACCACCUGGGUGGUGUAAAGGUAUGUCCUUGUAUUCACCUGACCACCUGGGUGGUGUAAAGGUAUGUCCUUGUAUUCACCUGACCACCUGGGU